rnacentral:rRNA from 1 species
AUUGAACGCUGGCGGCAUGCCUUACACAUGCAAGUCGAACGGCAGCACGGGUGCUUGCCCCUGGUGGCGAGUGGCGAACGGGUGAGUAAUACAUCGGAACAUGUCCUGUAGUGGGGGAUAGCCCGGCGAAAGCCGGAUUAAUACCGCAUACGAUCCACGGAUGAAAGCGGGGGACCUUCGGGCCUCGCGCUAUAGGGUUGGCCGAUGGCUGAUUAGCUAGUUGGUGGGGUAAAGGCCUACCAAGGCGACGAUCAGUAGCUGGUCUGAGAGGACGACCAGCCACACUGGGACUGAGACACGGCCCAGACUCCUACGGGAGGCAGCAGUGGGAAAUUUUGGACAAUGGGCGAAAGCCUGAUCCAGCAAUGCCGCGUGUGUGAAGAAGGCCUUCGGGUUGUAAAGCACUUUUGUCCGGAAAGAAAUCCUUGACUCUAAUACAGUCGGGGGAUGACGGUACCGGAAGAAUAAGCACCGGCUAACUACGUG